AGAGUUUGAUCAUGGCUCAGAUUGAACGCUGGCGGCAGGCCUAACACAUGCAAGUCGAACGGUAACAGGAAGCAGCUUGCUGCUUCGCUGACGAGUGGCGGACGGGUGAGUAAUGUCUGGGAAGCUGCCUGAUGGAGGGGGAUAACUACUGGAAACGGUAGCUAAUACCGCAUAAUGUCGCAAGACCAAAGAGGGGGACCUUCGGGCCUCUUGCCAUCGGAUGUGCCCAGAUGGGAUUAGCUUGUUGGUGGGGUAACGGCUCACCAAGGCGACGAUCCCUAGCUGGUCUGAGAGGAUGACCAGCCACACUGGAACUGAGACACGGUCCAGACUCCUACGGGAGGCAGCAGUGGGGAAUAUUGCACAAUGGGCGCAAGCCUGAUGCAGCCAUGCCGCGUGUAUGAAGAAGGCCUUCGGGUUGUAAAGUACUUUCAGCGGGGAGGAAGGGAGUAAAGUUAAUACCUUUGCUCAUUGACGUUACCCGCAGAAGAAGCACCGGCUAACUCCGUGCCAGCAGCCGCGGUAAUACGGAGGGUGCAAGCGUUAAUCGGAAUUACUGGGCGUAAAGCGCACGCAGGCGGUUUGUUAAGUCAGAUGUGAAAUCCCCGGGCUCAACCUGGGAACUGCAUCUGAUACUGGCAAGCUUGAGUCUCGUAGAGGGGGGUAGAAUUCCAGGUGUAGCGGUGAAAUGCGUAGAGAUCUGGAGGAAUACCGGUGGCGAAGGCGGCCCCCUGGACGAAGACUGACGCUCAGGUGCGAAAGCGUGGGGAGCAAACAGGAUUAGAUACCCUGGUAGUCCACGCCGUAAACGAUGUCGACUUGGAGGUUGUGCCCUUGAGGCGUGGCUUCCGGAGCUAACGCGUUAAGUCGACCGCCUGGGGAGUACGGCCGCAAGGUUAAAACUCAAAUGAAUUGACGGGGGCCCGCACAAGCGGUGGAGCAUGUGGUUUAAUUCGAUGCAACGCGAAGAACCUUACCUGGUCUUGACAUCCACGGAAGUUUUCAGAGAUGAGAAUGUGCCUUCGGGAACCGUGAGACAGGUGCUGCAUGGCUGUCGUCAGCUCGUGUUGUGAAAUGUUGGGUUAAGUCCCGCAACGAGCGCAACCCUUAUCCUUUGUUGCCAGCGGUCCGGCCGGGAACUCAAAGGAGACUGCCAGUGAUAAACUGGAGGAAGGUGGGGAUGACGUCAAGUCAUCAUGGCCCUUACGACCAGGGCUACACACGUGCUACAAUGGCGCAUACAAAGAGAAGCGACCUCGCGAGAGCAAGCGGACCUCAUAAAGUGCGUCGUAGUCCGGAUUGGAGUCUGCAACUCGACUCCAUGAAGUCGGAAUCGCUAGUAAUCGUGGAUCAGAAUGCCACGGUGAAUACGUUCCCGGGCCUUGUACACACCGCCCGUCACACCAUGGGAGUGGGUUGCAAAAGAAGUAGGUAGCUUAACCUUCGGGAGGGCGCUUACCACUUUGUGAUUCAUGACUGGGGUGAAGUCGUAACAAGGUAACCGUAGGGGAACCUGCGGUUGGAUCACCU
rnacentral:rRNA from 2 species